rnacentral:rRNA from 2 species
AACUGCGAGUGAAGCGGGAAAAGCUCAAAUUUAAAAUCUGGCGGUCCUUGGCUGUCCGAGUUGUAAUUUAGAGAAGCGUCUUCCGCGCCGGACCGUGCACAAGUCUCCUGGAAUGGAGCGUCGUAGAGGGUGAGAAUCCCGUCUUUGGCAUGGACACCUGGUGCUUCUGUGAUGCGCUCUCGAAGAGUCGAGUUGUUUGGGAAUGCAGCUCAAAAUGGGUGGUGAACUCCAUCUAAAGCUAAAUAUUGGCGAGAGACCGAUAGCGAACAAGUACCGUGAGGGAAAGAUGAAAAGCACUUUGGAAAGAGAGUGAAACAGUACGUGAAAUUGUUGAAAGGGAAACGCUUGAAGUCAGUCGCGUCGACCGAGACUCAGCCUUGCCUUGGCUUGGUGUACUUCUCGGCUUGACGGGUCAGCGUCGAUUUUGCCCCUCGGAUAAUGGCAAGGGAAAGGUGGCACCUUUGCGGGUGUGUUAUAGUCUCCUGUCGCAUGUGAGGGGUGAGAUCGAGGAACUCAGUGCGCGCCUCUGGCGUCGGGGCCUUUUG